rnacentral:rRNA from 1 species
AACGAACGCUGGCGGCGUGGCUAAGACAUGCAAGUCGAACGGACUAUCCCAAUUGAGUAAUUGAGAGGAUAGUUAGUGGCGAAAGGGUUAGUAACGGGUAGGUAACGUACCCUGUGCUUUGGGAUAGCGUCAUCCCGACUUCGGUCGGGAUUUCCGAAAGGGGCGGUAAUACCAAAUAAUAUCAUUGGUCUAUAGGCCGAUGAUCAAAGAUUUAUCGGCACAGGAGCGGCCUGCCUCCUAUCAGCUUGUUGGUGAGGUAAUGGCUCACCAAGGCAGCGACGGGUAGCGGGACUGAGAGGUUGGCCCGCAACAUCGGGACUGAGACACUGCCCGGACCUCCACGGAGGGCUGCAGUAACGAAUAUUGUGCAAUGGGCGAAAGCCUGACACAGCGACGCCGCGUGUAGGAGGAAGUCCUUCGGGAUGUAAACUACUGUCAGGGGGAAGAAAGUGCGCUUCGGCGCAUUGAUCUACCCCAGAGAAGUCACGCUAACUU